GUUGAGUCUUAACCUUGUAUGAAUCCUGGGAGCUGCUCUGCAGUGGACCGUGGAGUUGCUCUGGGACUGUGUUGCCACUCAGACGGAAAGACUGACAUGACAGCUUGACAGUGGACCAGUCCCAACACUUUCUUCAACAGGAGCUGACCGGUGUGCGGAUAAAUGGGCUGCUUUGUUAUUCGUGGUAACAGCUGAGCUCAAGGCCUUCGGGCUAUUCCCUGCCCAGAGAUCAUCUGGGUCAUCUAGUUCAGAUUCAAGGAACCCGCGGUGCUCUACAUCCCAGUGCUGGUAA
rnacentral:lncRNA from 1 species